AGGGAAAUCAGAGAGAUAUUUUCAUCUCCUGCUUGUCUGACUGGAAGUUUUUUAAAGGAAAGAUUAACUGCAGAAAUGAUGUCUAUUAAUUUGGAUGUAAAUAAAGCAAGAAACACCUUUAAGGAGUUAACCCAAAAGGACUGGAUUA